rnacentral:rRNA from 1 species
UAUGAAGGGGGGCUAGCGUUGUUCGGAAUUACUGGGCGUAAAGGGCGCGUAGGCGGUGUGUCAAGUCUGUCGUGAAAGCCCCCGGGCUCAACCUGGGAAUGGCGAUGGAUACUGGCGGGCUAGAGUGCGGUAGAGGAGAGUGGAAUUCCCGGUGUAGCAGUGAAAUGCGUAGAGAUCGGGAGGAACAUCAGUUGCGAAGGCGGCUCUCUGGACCAGCACUGACACUGAGGCACGAAAAGCGUGGGGGAGCAAAACAGG